rnacentral:misc_RNA from 1 species
GAUGAAGAACGCAGUGAAAUGCGAUACUUGGUGUGAAUUGCAGAAUCCCGUGAACCAUCGAGUCUUUGAACGCAAGUUGCGCCCGAAGCCAUUAGGCCGAGGGCACGCCUGCCUGGGCGUCACACGUCGUUGCCCCCCCAUCUACUCCUUCGGGAUUGCGGGGGGCGGAUGAUGGCCUCCCGUGCGCCUCGCCGCGCGGUUGGCAUAAAUGGCAAGUCCUCGGCGACGCACGCCACGACAAUCGGUGGUUGCGAAACCUCGGUUGCCCGUCGUGUGCGGUCGUCGCGAAUCGAGGGCUCGAAAAAAUUGCCGGGUUCCGGCUCGGCUUUCAACGCGACCCCAGGUCAGGCGGGGUUACCCGCUGAAUUUAAGCAUAUCAAUAAGCGGAGGA